AUGACUCUACCGAUGAGAUUCGCGUUAAUAUUAACAAAUGGUCUGAUUUGUCAUCAUGCUUACGAAAUAGCAAAUAUGUGUACGGAACAAAUGCUUCUGCCCGGAAUAAUAAUUACGAUAGUCCCGGCAAUACCGGGUAAACUGCCAUAAAGUAUAAAUUGUCUCUAUGGAACAGGAUGAUUCCAAACGAUUGAUUAAUUUCGUGCGACAGGGUAGCAACGGAAACUUACGAUUAGCCGAGUCAUUAGCGUAGACAGGAGAAAAUGCCCGUCGGUUGGGACAAAUAGAAUCGAUUUGGCGCUGCCGUGAAUUUUGCGCACGGUCUCUAUAAGAGAGUAUGAAGAAUCGAGUCCAGCGUUCUCAACAUGAUAUUGAGAAUUCUUGUGCUGUACUUCGGUUACAAUCCAGAUAAUGCAGCAUGGCGUCUUGUAGAUGCAAGAUGGCGCGCGGUUCGAAAGUGGAAGAUGGAAUGGAAAAAUUCCACGCGCAGUAAGCAAACCUUCGACAUCCAAGCGUCAGGGCCUUGAAUAUCACAAAUGGUUUCUGCUAUCUCCGGCGCAUGCGACCAUGUUCCCCAUCUGUCAUGGAUCCCGGGAAUAGUUUGCUAUCGCGUAUACGGAAUAAUGAAAUACGUUCUCGAUGAAAAAUGUGGCGAACAAUUGAAAACACAACAGAAACAGAAAGUGCAAUUAUGACUUGGUGUUAAAGCGGUGUCAAAUUAGUGAUUUGAGGUUCAUAGGCGUGGAAAAUUGGCGUUUAAAAAUGAGCCUCGCUGGCACGGGCUGCUUUCUGUCAUUUCGGAGUCGGGAGAGAGUGGAAACAAAGACGCGUCAUUGAGUGGCUGAGGUAGCCUUCCAAAAACAACCAGCUUGGAUCGGGAAAGGGUGAUCGAGACGAGGGGUGCCAACAAGAGGAUCGAAGGUGUCGGGACGGUGGUACGCAGAGUGCUUGUCUGCGGGUAAUGAGGCAGGUGGUGGUGCUGGAGCCGGCGGGCAGCGUCCUGGUCAUCAGACAGACGUCCCUAGGUGGUGGCGUGACUAGCGUGACGACGUCGAGUGCAGCUUCGCAUCAGAAUCACACCGUGGUGCCGGUCUCAGUGUCAACGAGCGACCAAAAUCAGAACAGAAUAGUGGUCGUGAGAUCGUCGUCGAAUUCCUCGACGACGGCCUCGGUCAGUCAGAGUGCCCUUCACUCAGCCCUGCAACAGGCCUCCCGGAAGGCGAUCAAGGCUGGAAACAACAUCGGCAAGCCAACCUCCGUCACCACAACCGCGAACGGUAACUGUAACAACAGCCAGAUAGACGGAGGCUCCAACUCCGGAGCCUUAAAGGACAACUCCUCGUCGGGAAAUGGAAACAACAACAACAUCAACAAUAGCGUCAACAACGUCAACGUCACGGUCAAUGCCAAUAACAGGAUAAACGGAGGGUCGUCCAAGGUGAACGGAAACGGCGACGAGGACGCAGGAAGAGGUGAAUCCGGACUCGGUGCAUCGAACCGAAAACUGACCAAAGAGACCACCAGCCUCGAGGUCAAACCCGACAUCGAGACCACUUCUGACGGCGACCCGAUAAAACUACCAGAGAACUUAGAGACCCUGCCCAGGGCGGAGCAGUUUCCGACACAGAGACAUCGAUGGAACACCAACGAGGAAAUCGCUGCCAUUUUGAUAAGUUUCCAAAGGCACGUGGAAUGGCAGAGUCGAGAGGUAAAAGUUCGCCCAAGAAGCGGAUCGAUGCUGUUAUAUUCACGGAAGAAGGUACGAUAUCGGCGGGAUGGUUAUUGCUGGAAGAAACGAAAAGACGGGAAGACAACUCGCGAGGAUCACAUGAAGCUAAAGGUUCAGGGAGUCGAAUGUAUAUACGGCUGCUACGUUCACUCGGCUAUCCUGCCAACCUUUCAUCGAAGAUGUUAUUGGCUGUUACAAAAUCCAGACGUUGUUCUUGUCCAUUAUUUGAAUGUCCCUUAUCCGGACGGCGAUGCAAAACUAGCCGCGUUACCACCGUGCCUCGCAUUACCACCGGACAAGAAAGAGUGGACCCGGGAUGAACUCGCUUCUCAGCUGAGGCCAAUGUUCCUCGGUGGAGACGUAGACUAUGACGAUCCAAACGCAACGCAGCAUUCUAAUCAUCCGGUCGACAUGAUCGUCACUCAGCUCCUCGACAGGCAAAGAGCAUCCAAUACCCCGUCGACUGGUGGAGCUCAGCUUGCUCCCAGAAGACUAACGCCCGACAAUCAGGUGACUUCCACAACGGGGGGUCAGCAGCCUUCUUCCACAGCACCGAACGCACCUAGGGUAUACUCGCGACAUUCCCAUUCCACCCAGAACCAACAGCCAGCCCCCCUGGUUCUGAGCUUACAGCAAAUCCAAGGAGGAGGUGGCCUCUUGAUUCUGAACAGCCAGCCUUACCAUCAGCAACAGCAGCAGCAGCAGCAGCAGCAGCAGCAUCAGCAGCAGCAGCAACAACAACAGCAACAGCAGCAGCAGCAGAAUCAGCGAAUUGAGAUGAGGCAAGUGACGGAGCAGCAGAUAGUUCAGCAGACGAGCGUCGACAGGGAGCAGCAGACUCAGCAUGAAUUGGAUAACCAGGAUAGCAUGCAAAGGUCGAGCACUCAAACACUGCCGGCGUCCAGUUCGGUAGUGACAGAUUUUGCAGAAACCUUGGACCUCAGUCAGGAAGACAUUCAACGAACGUUGUCAGCGAACAUGGUGCCCCCUGCUCCAUCGCCCUCUCCAGCUGACGACAAUAUCAUCAAUCCAAUGGACUUUAUCGACUCCUCAGACGACGUUCUCGUCAAUUUAGACGCCUUUGACGUAUUUGGCGAUCUACCAGAGCUCCACGACUUUGAAACCGAGCAAGCGAAAGCCAUUGAAAGAGGCAGGUCGGAUAGCGAUGCGAACUGUCACCCGAACACAGCUCAUAUCGCCGAAUAUAGUCCCGAAUGGAGUUAUACAGAGGGUGGCGUAAAGGUACUAGUCGCUGGACCAUGGACUGAUGGUAGUGGAUCUCAAUCUUACUCGGUCUUGUUCGACGCUGAGCCAGUAGAGGCCUGCCUAGUGCAACCUGGGGUGCUACGUUGUCGAUGUCCGGCGCACGCUCCAGGUCUGGCUUCCCUUCAAGUAGCCUGUGACGGUUUCGUGGUCUCGGACAGCGUUGCAUUUGAGUAUCGGCGUGCAUCAACAGCCGAACCGAGUCCCGAACGGGCCCUUCUAGACAGGCUGGCUGACGUCGAAGCCCGCCUCCAAGGCCCUGGUCCUCCCUCGCCAGCGGCUCACUUCGAGGAACGACUUGUCGCCUAUUGCCAGGACGCAGUUGCGCGACCUUGGCAGGUCGGCGCUGAACCUCUGCAGUCCGGAGGACCGACUCUUCUGCACUUGGCUGCUGGGUUGGGGUACUCUAGGCUGGCUUGUGCUCUACUUCAUUGGAGGGCUGAGAAUCCCAGCACCGUACUGGACGCUGAAGUCGAUGCCCUACGGCAGGAUGGAAGCGGACUCACGCCUCUUGCCUGGGCGUGCGCUGCUGGACAUGCCGAUACAGCUAGAAUACUGUACAGGUGGAACGCGAUGGCAUUACGAGUGAAAGACAAUCGAGGUAGAAGCGCGACUGAGAUAGCAUCGGGAAACGGUCAUUCGAUGAUAGCGGAAGAGUUGAAUCAAUUAGAAGCGCGGAGGCAGGACGAAGGGCUUUUUUUGCGUCCAGCAAGCCCUAGGAGACCUUCCCAAGACAGUGGCCUUGAUUUAGCGCUAUGUGGCUCACCGCUGUUGGACAACAUGGAGUUGUUGCAAGAAGACGAAACAUCGUUGAGCCUCGGGCAACAGAGAAUGGAGAGUACUAGUGCUCCCAACCCCCAAGAGACCGUAGGGGAGGAAGAUGCCAAGGUACUGACGUUGGCGGAACAGAUAAUCGCAGCGCUUCCAGAACGAAUAAAACGUGGUGACGGAGAACCUCCCUCGCCAUCUUCACCCCCGUCACCGCCUCCGCCGUUAACGCCACUGGAAGAUGCCUUGAUGGAGCAAAUGACAAGCAACUCGAGCAGCGUUAGUUAUCCAGAGUAACUACCGCAACUACCGGGCUCGUCCUGGGUCUUCCAGCUCACGGCAACAAGCCGCUUACCAACAAGCCGCCCAUCAAGCUGCCAGAAAAAUUCAGCAGUUCAUGAGGCAAUCCAAAAUCAACUUGUCAUGGGACGAGUCGCGACCG
rnacentral:misc_RNA from 1 species